GUGUUUAUUAUCAAUUUAAAUAAUUGUACAAAGCAUUCAAAAGGAGUUUAUCAAGGGAUAAAGUAGACAUAAGCCCGAAGAUAAGGAAAACAACGUCAAUUGCAUCCCCCCAAGGGCCUACAAGUUAUGCACAAAGUGAGAAGGUGGUCAAAGGGGUUUUCAAGGAGUGCACAUGCCCACGAUAGGCCAGCAACAUCCUCGAGCAUUCUUUAAUGAUCCUUCCGCAGGUUCACCUACGGAAA
rnacentral:misc_RNA from 1 species